rnacentral:rRNA from 1 species
AACGCAGGCGGUCUUUUAAGUCUGAUGUGAAAGCCUUCGGCUUAACCGAAGUAGUGCAUUGGAAACUGGAAGACUUGAGUGCAGAAGAGGAGAGUGGAACUCCAUGUGUAGCGGUGAAAUGCGUAGAUAUAUGGAAGAACACCAGUGGCGAAAGCGGCUCUCUGGUCUGUAACUGACGCUGAGGUUCGAAAGCGUGGGUAGCAAACA